GACGAACGCUGGCGGCGUGCUUAACACAUGCAAGUCGAACGGAAAGGCCCUGCUUGCCGGGUACUCGAGUGGCGAACGGGUGAGUAACACGUGGGUGAUCUGCCCUGCACUUCGGGAUAAGCCUGGGAAACUGGGUCUAAUACCGGAUAGGAGCCAUUUUUAGUGUGAUGGUUGGAAAGUUUUUUCGGUGUAGGAUGAGCUCGCGGCCUAUCAGCUUGUUGGUGGGGUAAUGGCCUACCAAGGCGGCGACGGGUAGCCGGCCUGAGAGGGUGGACGGCCACAGUGGGGCUGAGAUACGGCCCAGACUCCUACGGGAGGCAGAAGGGGGGAAUAUUGCACAAUGGGCGCAAGCCUGAUGCAGCGACGCCGCGUGGGGGAUGACGGCCUUCGGGUUGUAAACUCCUUUCGCUAGGGACGAAGCUUUUUGUGACGGUACCUAGAUAAGAAGCACCGGCUAACUACGUG
rnacentral:rRNA from 1 species